rnacentral:rRNA from 1 species
GACGAACGCUGGCGGCGUGCUUAACACAUGCCAGUCGAACGGAAAGGCCCCUUUGGGGGUACUCGAGUGGCGAACGGGUGAGUAACACGUGAGUAACCUGCCCUUGACUUCGGGAUAACUUCAGGAAACUGGGGCUAAUACCGGAUAGGAAUCCUUGCUGCAUGGUGGGGGUUGGAAAGCUUCGGCGGUUUUGGAUGGACUCGCGGCUUAUCAGCUUGUUGGUGGGGUAGUGGCUUACCAAGGCUUUGACGGGUAGCCGGCCUGAGAGGGCGACCGGCCACAUUGGGACUGAGAGACGGCCCAGACUCCUACGGGAGGCAGCAGUGGGGAAUAUUGCACAAGGGGCGGAAGCCUGAUGCAGCAACGCCGCGUGCGGGAUGACGGCCUUCGGGUUGUAAACCGCGUUCAGCAGGGGCGAAGCUUGUGGUGACGGUACCUGCAGAAGAAGCACCGGCUAACUACGUG